UGAAAAGGGAAUUAGAUAUCUUGAUGUUCCCAACAAGAUAGAACACAACCAGACUUACGCUGCUAACCGCCCCCACAAAAGCAAGACUUUUGGUGCUGGUGGAAUGCAGAGAAAGCCUCAAAGGAAGGUUAAAUGGAUGAGUCAGAACCUCUCCUUUCUCUGGAGCUGGUCACACCAGGGCAGUGGAAUUUUAGAGAGAAAUUUCCCCAUGAAAACAAAGGCAAACUAAUGAUCAUGUACUGGGAGGCAUGGUCUCAGAAUAAAGAAAUCAAUUACAUGAUUUAAUACCUAAUAUCAUCAAAUUCUGUUAAUCUGAUGCUUCAUUCACCACAGUGGAGCUGCCUCUACCAUUGAAUGCGAAGACAGCUGUUUCACUCAAGACCAAAAGAUUGAGGACUGGAGAGAUCUGUUAUCAAGAAACUGACUUGACCACAAGAACAAUUUACAGGUGGUAAACAUGAUCGCCUUAUUUAUAACAAGUGUAAGCCAUACUCAAACUACUUUUUUGGUGUGUUUUUUAAAGAAAGAUACUAAAACAGAAAGGAGCUUGGAACUAUUGCCACCCUUGCCCUCCAUGUUCCUAGAAGCAUGAAGGUAGCUGAACUUGACCAUUCAAAGAACUUGGCAUCGGCUAAGUGGAAGCCUCUAUUUUCCUUAUUCUUUAUCCUUCCUAGGCUUUUCAUUACCCAGACUAGAGUGGUAAGUAGCAGUUUUCAUACAUACAAUUGUCAUAAAUAGCUACUAAAAUCAUGAUUUUUCUUUUUUCUUUUCUUUCUUUCUUUUUUAAAUGGCAGCACUUGCUGCAUAUGGAAGUUCCCAGACUAGGGGUCUAAUUGGAUCCGCAGCUGCAUGCUAAAGCCACAGCCACGACAUAGCUGGAUCCGUGUCACA